CUCCCUCCCUAACCAGCCAACACAGCCUCUGGGAGCUCACAGCCAAUGACUGACUGAUACAAGGCUGACCAGGUUGUCUCAAGGGGCAGGACAACUUUGCCUCCAGUGUAUGCCCCUGAGCUCCUCUGAGGAUCAAUUCAAGGAAUUAUGACUCAUCAGAAUCCUGGAGAACCUGUGCCUGCAUGGAGUGAACUUAAUAUAGUGCACAACACGGGCCAAUGAACACAGAAUUCUGGUGGACCUACUAUGCCUGGGAUUUCAGUGAGACUCAAAGUGAGUGCAAGUCACCAUCAUAAAGAUUCAAUAUUCAAGACCACGAAGAAGAACCCAGACCAGGGAUUGCUUCAUUUGGAUUCCACCUACCGCAGUUGUUACAUCUAAGUAGGGACAACGAAAAUCUCCUGCUAUGGUCUUGAUCCUAGUCAGUAAAAGAGCAAAUUCCAAGCCUCCUAAGGGGCAUUUUCAUCCUUCCCCAUCUGUCCUUACAGAUAAGGAAGAGAUUCCAGGAAUGACUCGGUUCCUGGAACCUAGAAUUAGUCCCCCUUGUUUUCUUUAUCUAUCCAAAUCCUGUCUUAGGGAUCAACUUUCACAAGCUUUCUCUCCUUAAAGACUUUCACCUCGAAUUACCUUUUUUUUUUGUCAUAUUCCUAUUCCUAUCUGGAGUCACACUCUUGAGAACCUUCUAUACUUUCGUCAUGCAUUUAUUAGCAGAUAUCUAUAAAGUUCCUACAGUGUGUCAGGCACUGUGCUAGGCGCUAGUGCAACAAUGAUGAAUGCUAUACACAUCCACCUCACCCUUUUAUAGUUUAUAGUAUCAUGGGGAGAUGGAGAAGUAGAUGCUCAAUAAACACAUUUUGUCUGAUGGGUAUACCUUGAAACAGCAAAAGUAAAGUCUGUUUCAUCAUAAUUUGAUCCGUUCACAUUUAUGGGCCAGAUCCUGUGGUAGACCUGGGAUACAAAGAUGAACUAAACAGAGACUCUGCUCUCAAGAGUUUAUAUAAUCUGCAUUUGCAGGUUAUAAUAAACUCUGAUCUGCAUCUUUGGGCAAAAGCAUUCUUUUCUAGGUAUCUUAACCACGAUCUCAAGUAUGUGCUCUGUGUGUUUACUGACAUAUCAUCAAACACAGUCUGUAGGGAAAGUAAAUGAAAUACGAACCAAAGGCGCCAGUCCUUGGAGUGUUGUGGCUUCCUCUGCCUCGUAGAGAUAGAAAUUCAAAGGAGCAAAGAAGUAGCCAGGGGCUGGUUCAGAGCAGCUACGGCCAGUGACAUGUGGGCGGCAUUCACACUGCCCAUUCUUGGGUGAGCACCUGAGGAAAAAGCAAUUCAUCAUGAAAAAAUGCAAAGUAGGUGAGCGGAAAAUGAAGGUGUAGGGGUGCUGGGCUAAUGCUCCCUGAGUUUGGAGCAAUCCUUAGAAUCAGUCAAUCAAUGGUCCUGUGGGAAGAUGCAGAAAGGCCAUGGGUUUAACAUAACUGGUCUUGAAUAGUGAAUCCAGGGCCAUGGAGCCCAGGCGGCCACUUUCCCCACCCUCCGCCCCCAACCCCCCACUGCCAGGUUCUGCUCUAAAAUCUGGCAAAAAGGGGGCUUUAGGAUCUCUCUUUACAACAUGGCAAAAAGCUGGUGUUUUAGGCAGGUCACACGUAUUCAAGCACCCAUGCCACCAGCUUGUGGUGGGAUACCCAGCAGAAGGAUUGUUUACCUCACCCUUGGAAAUAUUUGAAGUGAAAGAAAUCAAUGGGCUGUAGUUAAUGUCUCAAGAUCAUUGCUUGUCAUGGAAUGAAAUUUUUCACCUAUGACUAUGAGCGUAUCAGAAUAAAAUGUGCUUUUAUGUUUAAAUAAGGAAUAUUGCUAUAAAACUUAUUUGACUUACACGUUAGAAUAAGCACCUCCAAUAUCACAGUCACAGGGAGAACACCCAUGGAGAUGAUUUCCCAGGCCCCAGUAUCCAACCUACAGAGAAAAAAUGCUCAGCUGAUUCCAGCUAUGAAGAUGCUGUUGCUCUGAAGUGCAACACUGAAAUCACUACAAUGCAAUUGCCACACGUCAAAUAGCCAAACAGCCUGCACCAUCUCAGAGAAACCUUCCUGGCCUAUGCGCUUGGCUAAUGAUCUUCCAUGGACACAUCUCCCAUCUCCAGGAUUUGA
rnacentral:lncRNA from 1 species